GGUAACUUUUCCCUAAAUUUUGAGAGUGAAGAUGAAGUUCCCUGGAAUUAUACAAAACUUUCGUCCAAAAAGUAUGCUGACACUUGACCGCUGAGGAAGGGGAUGGCGGUGAGGCUCAAUAAGUUGUAGCGGGACCUAUCUAUCUUUCUAUGUAGCAAUAUCAUCAUGAAAUAUUUUGGUCACACCCGAUUUAUCGAACAUGAAGAUUCAAAUAGUAGCUGAAUAUGGCGAUUUCUCUCGAGAGCCGCUAGGUAAUCGCUUGGCCGGCUCCUCGGAGAAGCUACCAAAUAGAAAGAAAGGCAUGUUUCUGUGCAUAUAACAAGGAAUGAGUACAGGGUUUACAUAGGCCGUACAUAAACCCAUUUAUAAUCAGGAUGCGUUUAGUGUACGUAAAACAAUCGUAUCCGCAUACGUAACCAGUGGUCCGGGAGAUUGCACAUUCCGGAAAGAUAGCGCGUGAUCUAUAACGGGACAGACAUGUAUGCACGAAUGUCCAAAUACCAACAAAGCCAACGAAAUGAUAACCCAACUUCAUCGCUCGUGUUGAGAUGUUGGAAUAUCGGUGCAAAAGCGAAAGAUCGUUAGAGAACAGACCUGGACGAGGAUGUUACGAACGAAGGCCGCUUUGGCUAGUAGUAAGAUCUUGCCAAGAAGCGAACCACCUCAGCUUCCGAGAAAGCAGCAGCAACUACCGGGAGAUAGAUCUAUUUCGUCAAUUCGGACAUUGCCUCUCCGACUGUUUUUGGGUGGUGCCAAGCGAAGUGUGGGUUGGUUUAUCUUUCCUUACAUGAAAGGCGAUGCUGUCAUGGGCCAAACUCUCGUUCGCUAUCUUUCAAGAUAAGUUUUGCUGAUUCGCGUUUUGUCCACAUGUUCUUGGGGGUGACCGACGCUGUGAAACACGUUGAACAUGGUGUCCCGAGCGUUCCGCUUUUCGACGUCUCUCUCUCUCUCUGACAUGGAGCGGUUAUCUUGCAAGUUGCAACCCUACCUAUUCCCGGGCUUCCCUGUUCUUUUCGCCCCUUUCUUGGGACGAGGAAGCCCUCCACCAUGUGGAUCGCAUCGUCGCGCAGCACGAUAAUCACGAUGGUCGAUCAGUUUUUAAAUUUCAUCGAUCAAUUAUUGAGACGUCGCUUUGCCGUCCCGGGGCCGGCGAUGGAAAUGCAUUCCGGCCUUCUCUUGUGCACAAGGUCGGAUCCCGUUCUUCUGCAAUUGAUGUGUCGGGUAUUUUUCUUUAGUAUAGGGUUACACAUCGAUUCCGGUUUAACUAGAGAAUCGGACCGGACCGGUCGAUUCAACUCCCGGUCUGGUUCCUAAAACUAGAAAUUGGACCGAACCGAUGGAGCCGGCCUAGAGUAUAUUAUUAUUAAUUUUUUGUUUAUUCAGCAAAGGCAAAAUGCACAAAUUAUAUGUAGGGGUAAUCUCAUAAGUAAUUUCAUCAAA